UACCUGGUUGAUCCUGCCAGUAGUCAUAUGCUUGUCUCAAAGAUUAAGCCAUGCAAGUCUAAGUACGAGCUCUCGUACAGUGAAACUGCGAAUGGCUCAUUAAAUCAGUUAUGGUUCAUUUGAUCGUACAGUUUACUUGGAUAACUGUGGUAAUUCUAGAGCUAAUACAUGCGAGAAGCGCCGACCUCGCGGGAGGCGUGCAUUUAUCAGACCAAAAACCGGCCGCGUCUUCGGGCGCGUUCACCUUGGUGACUCUGGAUAACUUUGCGGAUCGCACGGUCUAGCACCGGCGACGGAUCAUUCAAGUGUCUGCCCUAUCAACUUUCGUCGGUACGGUAUUUGCCUACCGAGGUUCUUACGGGUGACGGGGAAUCAGGGUUCGAUUCCGGAGAGGGAGCCUGAGAAACGGCUACCACAUCCAAGGAAGGCAGCAGGCGCGCAAAUUACCCAUUCCCGACGCGGGGAGGUAGUGACGAAAAAUAACAAUGCAGGACUCGUUCGAGGCCCUGUAAUUGGAAUGAGUACACUUUAAAAGCUUUAACGAGUAUCCAUUGGAGGGCAAGUCUGGUGCCAGCAGCCGCGGUAAUUCCAGCUCCAAAAGUAUAUAUUUAAGUUGUUGCGGUUAAAAAGCUCGUAGUUGGAUUUUGGGCGCAGGCGGCCGGUCCGUCGCAAGGCGUGUACUGGACGUCCUGGCCUUCCCUCCGGUUCUCCGCCGGUGCUCUUGACUGAGUGUCGGCGGCGGCCGGAACGUUUACUUUGAAAAAAUUAGAGUGUUCAAAGCAGGCUCUCGAGCCUGGAUAAUGGUGCAUGGAAUAAUGGAAUAGGACCUC
rnacentral:ncRNA from 1 species